GGUUUAAAAGGCUAUUCUAGUGUAAAUUGAUUCAUAGAAACUGAUUUCUGAAAAAUAUGAUGUUUAAUUCUAUAUGUGAUAGCUCAAUUAAUGUUAAUCGAGGCUAAGUGACAAGCCAUGAAUUAGAAUAUAAAAGAUAUAAAAUUCUGCCCUUUUUGUGUUCGUAGAAAUGCCUCAAAGAAGGCUUGAAACUGAAAUUUAAAGUUCAAACGCAUAAUUGUGAUGUUUAGGCAAAUUAUGCGACAUAUGAUUGAAAAGGAGUUCUAAACGUAUCAUGAUUGAACUCUAUAGGAAAAGAUACCGGAGCGUCGAGUGGACAAGCCAGUGGCGACUUGCGUUUGUAGGGCGUGCAUUGAAGGUGACAAAGGGGAUCUUACGGAUGGCGGUCAAGCAAGUUUUGAAGAACCGAACACAACUUUAGAAGCUUCCGCGAUUUCAUAACUUUGUUAAACAAUGUUUUUAUUUCUUUUGAGUGUAAACAACUUGCUAAUCAUGUCAUGAAUGUUUUAACUAGUCG
rnacentral:lncRNA from 1 species